CCAGACUCCUACGGGAGGCAGCAGUGGGGAAUAUUGCACAAUGGGGGGAACCCUGAUGCAGCGACGCCGCGUGAGCGAUGAAGUAUUUCGGUAUGUAAAGCUCUAUCAGCAGGGAAGAAAAUGACGGUACCUGACUAAGAAGCCCCGGCUAACUACGUGCCAGCAGCCGCGGUAAUACGUAGGGGGCAAGCGUUAUCCGGAUUUACUGGGUGUAAAGGGAGCGUAGACGGCUGUGCAAGCCAGAUGUGAAAGCCCGGGGCCCAACCCCGGGACCGCACCGGAUACUGCCGGACUCGAGUGCCGGAGGGGCAGGCGGAAUUCCUGGUGUAGCGGUGAAAUGCGCAGAUAUCAGGAGGAACACCGGUGGCGAAGGCGGCCUGCUGGACGGUAACUGACGCUGAGGCUCGAAAGCGUGGGGAGCGAACAGGAUUAGAUACCCUCGUAC
rnacentral:rRNA from 1 species